UAUGAUUGAGCAACCUAAGAUAGAUGAAUUAGGUUUUAAAUUUUUUUUAUUUUUUUAUUUUGCAGAUGUUGUGCUUCUUUUAUUUUUUCGGAAGAACAAUAAUAUAUAAUGAAGAAAAUUAAAAUGCAGUAACGUAAAUGAACACAAAAAUAUAUCCCAGUUUCUCUUUCCAUCCAAGGGAAUGUUAAGUCCCAUGACAACAAUCG
rnacentral:lncRNA from 1 species